UACAGAGGGUGCAGGCGUUAAUCGGAAUUACUGGGCGUAAAGCGUGCGCAGACGGUUGCGUAAGUCAGAUGUGAAAGCCCCGGGCUCAACCUGGGAAUUGCAUUUGAGACUGCGUAGCUAGGGUGCGGAAGAGGGAAGCGGAAUUUCCGGUGUAGCGGUGAAAUGACGUAGAUAUCGGAAGGAACACCAGUGGCGAAAGCGGCUUCCUGGUCCAGCACCGACGUUCAGGCACGAAAGCGUGGGGAGCAAACAGG
rnacentral:rRNA from 1 species